AUGGCAAAGUUAAUAAGGGCGCACGGUGGAUGCCUUGGCAUUAAGAGCCGAAGAAGGACGUGACUAACGACGAUAUUCUAGGGGGAGCAGUAAGUACGCAUUGAUCCCUAGGUCUCCGAAUGGGGAAACCCACUAUGUUAUGCAUAGUAUCCGUAAGUGAAUACAUAGCUUACGCGAAGGUAACGCAGAGAACUGAAACAUCUAAGUACCUGCAGGAAGAGAAAGUAAAAACGAUUUCCUAAGUAGCGGCGAGCGAACGGGAAACAGGCCAAACCAAGAAGCUUGCUUCUUGGGGUUGUAGGACUGCAACGUGGACUUAAAGUCUAUAGAAGAAUUACCUGGGAAGGUAAGCCAAAGAGAGUAAUAGCCUCGUAUUUGAAAUAGACUUUAUACCUAGCAGUAUCCUGAGUAGGGCUGGACACGCGAAAUCCAGUUUGAAUCCGGGAGGACCAUCUCCCAAGCCUAAAUACUCCUUAAUGACCGAUAGUGAACCAGUACCGUGAGGGAAAGGUGAAAAGAACCCCGGGAGGGGAGUGAAAUAGCACCUGAAACCGUGUGCCUACAAGAAGUUCGAGCCCGUCAAUGGGUGAGAGCGUGCCUUUUGUAGAAUGAACCGGCGAGUUACGUUAUGAUGCGAGGUUAAGCUGAAGAGGCGGAGCCGUAGCGAAAGCGAGUCUGAAUAGGGCGCUUUAGUAUCAUGAUGUAGACCCGAAACCUAGUGACCUAUCCAUGAGCAGGUUGAAGGUGCGGUAAGACGCACUGGAGGACCGAACCAGGACACGUUGAAAAGUGUUUGGAUGACUUGUGGAUAGCGGAGAAAUUCCAAACGAACUGGGAGAUAGCUGGUUCUCUCCGAAAUAGCUUUAGGGCUAGCGUCGCAAUUUAAGUGUAUUGGAGGUAGAGCACUGUUUGGAUGAGGGGCCCAUCUCGGGUUACCAAUUUCAGAUAAACUCCGAAUGCUAAUACACAUGUGCGGCAGUCAGACUGCGAGUGCUAAGAUCCGUAGUCGAAAGGGAAACAGCCCAGACCACCAGCUAAGGUCCCAAAAUAUAUGUUAAGUGGAAAAGGAUGUGGGGUUGCACAGACAACUAGGAUGUUAGCUCAGAAGCAGCUAUCAUUCAAAGAGUGCGUAAUAGCUCACUAGUCGAGUGACCCUGCGCCGAAAAUGUACCGGGGCUAAACAUAUUACCGAAGCUGUGGAUUUAAUAUUAAUUAAAUGGUAGGAGAGCGUUGUAAUCAGCGAUGAAGGUAUACCGUGAGGGGUGCUGGAGCGAUUACAAGUGAGAAUGCCGGUAUGAGUAGCGCAAGAUAAGUGAGAAUCUUAUCCACCGUAAGACUAAGGUUUCCAGGGGAAGGCUCGUCCGCCCUGGGUUAGUCGGGACCUAAGGCGAGGCCGAAAGGCGUAGUCGAUGGACAACAGGUUGAUAUUCCUGUACUAGUAUUGUUAGUGAUGGAGGGACGCAGUAGGCUAAAGGGAGCCAGUUAAUGGAUUCUGGUCUAAGCAGUGAGGUGUGGAAUGUGUCAAAUGCAUUUUCCUUUAACAUUGAGCUGUGAUGGGGAAGCAACUACGGUUGCGAAGCCCUUGAUGUCACACUGCCAAGAAAAUCUUCUAGCGUUUAAUUCAAUACUACCCGUACCGCAAACCGACACAGGUAGUCGAGGCGAGUAGCCUCAGGUGAUCGAGAGAACUCUCGUUAAGGAACUCGGCAAAAUGACCCCGUAACUUCGGGAGAAGGGGUGCUGUAGAAAUACAGCCGCAGUGAAAAGAUCCAAGCAACUGUUUAUCAAAAACACAGCUCUCUGCUAAACCGCAAGGUGAUGUAUAGGGGGUGACGCCUGCCCGGUGCUGGAAGGUUAAGAGGAGGGGUUAGACAUUAGUCGAAGCUCUGAAUUGAAGCCCCAGUAAACGGCGGCCGUAACUAUAACGGUCCUAAGGUAGCGAAAUUCCUUGUCGGGUAAGUUCCGACCCGCACGAAAGGCGUAAUGAUUUGGAUACUGUCUCAACGAGAGACUCGGUGAAAUUUUAGUACCUGUGAAGAUGCAGGUUACCCGCGACAGGACGGAAAGACCC
rnacentral:rRNA from 2 species